rnacentral:rRNA from 1 species
AGGUAAAGGCUCACCAAGGCGACGAUCCGUAGCGGGUCUGAGAGGAUGAUCCGCCACACUGGGGCUGAGACACGGCCCAGACUCCUACGGGAGGCAGCAGUGGGGAAUUUUGGACAAUGGGCGCAAGCCUGAUCCAGCCAUGCCGCGUGAGUGAAGAAGGCCUUCGGGUUGUAAAGCUCUUUCGGCGGGGAAGAAAUUGCUUCGGCUAAUGCCCGGAGUAGAUGACGGUACCCGCAUAAGAAGCACCGGCUAACUACGUGCCAGCAGCCGCGGUAAUACGUAGGGUGCGAGCGUUAAUCGGAAUUACUGGGCGUAAAGCGUGCGCAGGCGGUUGUAUAAGUCAGAUGUGAAAUCCCCGGGCUCAACCUGGGAACUGCAUUUGAGACUGUACGGCUAGAGUGUAGCAGAGGGGGGUAGAAUUCCACGUGUAGCAGUGAAAUGCGUAGAGAUGUGGAGGAAUACCGAUGGCGAAGGCAGCCCCCUGGGUUACUACUGACGCUCAUGCACGAAAGCGUGGGGAGCAAACAGGAUUAGAUACCCUGGUAGUCCACGCCCUAAACGAUGUCAACUAGGUGUUGGAAGGGUUAAACCUUUUAGUGCCGUAGCUAACGCGUGAAGUUGACCGCCUGGGGAGUACGGCCGCAAGGCUAAAACUCAAAGGAAUUGACGGGGACCCGCACAAGCGGUGGAUGAUGUGGAUUAAUUCGAUGCAACGCGAAAAACCUUACCUACCCUUGACAUGUCAGGAAUCCCGGAGAGAUUUGGGAGUGCUCGAAAGAGAACCUGAACACAGGUGCUGCAUGGCUGUCGCCAGCCCGUGUCGUGAGAUGUUGGGUUAAGUCCCGCAACGAGCGCAACCCUUGUCAUUAAUUGCCAUCAUUUAGUUGGGCACUUUAAUGAGACUGCCGGUGACAAACCGGAGGAAGGUGGGGAUGACGUCAAGUCCUCAUGGCCCUUAUGGGUAGGGCUUCACACGUCAUACAAUGGUCGGUUCAGAGGGUUGCCAACCCGCGAGGGGGAGCCAAUCUCAGAAAGCCGAUCGUAGUCCGGAUUGGAGUCUGCAACUCGACUCCAUGAAGUCGGAAUCGCUAGUAAUCGCGGAUCAGCAUGUCGCGGUGAAUACGUUCCCGGGUCUUGUACACACCGCCCGUCACACCAUGGGAGCGGGUUCUGCCAGAAGUAGUUAGCCUAACCGCAAGGAGGGCGAUUACCACGGCAGGGUUCGUGACUGGGGUGAAGUCGUAACAAGGUA